rnacentral:rRNA from 1 species
UCCCUUAGAUGUUCUGGGCCGCACGCGCGCUACACUGUUCGACGCAGCGAGUCUUAACCUUGACCGAAAGGUUUGGGUAAUCUUCAGCAAAGUCGAACGUGAUGGGGAUCGAUCAUUGCAAUUAUUGAUCGUGAACGAGGAAUUCCUAGUAAGUGCAAGUCAUCAGCUUGCGCUGAUUACGUCCCUGCCCUUUGUACACACCGCCCGUCGCUACUACCGAUUGAAUGGUUUAGUGAGAUCUCUGGAUUGACGCUGGCUAGGGGGCGACCCUUGGCCAGACUGUUGAGAAACUGCUCAAACUUGAUCAUUUAGAGGAAGUAAAAGUCGUAACA